UCCUUUAGUUUAAUUGGUUAAAACAUAACUUUUAUAAAAGUUAGAUGUAAGUUCAAAUCUUACAAGGAUU
rnacentral:tRNA from 1 species